rnacentral:rRNA from 1 species
GGAAGGUAGCUUGCCCCACCGUAAGUUAACGGCGGACGGGUGAGUAUGCUUAGGAAUCUCGCCUAUUACUGGGGGACAACGUUUCGAAAGGAACGCUAAUACCGCAUACGUCCUACGGGAGAAAGCAGGGGAUCAUUUGACCUUGUGCUAAUAGAUGAGCCUAAGUCGGAUUAGCUAGUUGGUGGGGUAAAGGCCUACCAAGGCGACGAUCUGUAGCGGGUCUGAGAGGAUGAUCCGCCACACUGGGACUGAGACACGGCCAGACUCCUACGGGAGGCAGCAGUGGGGAAUAUUGGACAAUGGGCGCAAGCCUGAUCCAGCCAUGCCGCGUGUGUGAAGAAGGCCUUAUGGUUGUACAAGCACUUUAAUGCGAGGAGGAGGAGCUUCAGGUUAAUACCCUGGAUGCUUGGACGUUACUCGACAGAAUAAGCACCGGCUAACUCUGUGACCAGCAGACACGACGGUAAUACAGAGCGGUGCAAUGCGUCCACUCGGAUUUACUGGGCGUAAAGCAGUGCAGUAGGCAGGCAUAAAUAUAAGUCCAAAUGUGAAACAUCCCCCCGAAGCCUUAAACUUUGGCGACCUUCGCAUUCCGAAUAACUGGGAUUAAGCAUAAAAGUACUGGGACAGAGAGAUGGUACGAAAAU